UCUAUUUUGGAACGGAGGGAGUAUAUAUCUACAGAUUUUCUAAUAUAAAGAAGUUACAGUUAGGUGUUGACCUUUUUCUUUGCCUAGACACAGCAGCUCCAACAAGAUCUGGGCGCUCAUAAUGAGAUAUAUAUGCAUGCUUUUUGUUUUUGCUGUGCCUUGUUCUCCAUUUAUCUUUGCUGCGCCAUUGUAGUUUGAAUUGUUCUUUACCUUCAUCCGACCGAAUUGAGCUAUCGGAGGUGCUGCGGUCUUUUGGCAAACAUGCUCUAUAUUAUAUGGUUUGGCACCUACAGGAUGCCAUCUCAGGUCAUGGAUCCACUCUGUCUGCUUCGUCCUUCACUGAGGACCUUCUCAUCCCCACAGAGAUCAGAGAGAAUAUUAUAUUUUGGAAGCAGGAAACCAUACCUCAUAAGAUGGGUGAGCUGUAGGAUUUGAUUCUAUUCAACUUGAAUUAGUUUUUGCUCAUCAUGUUCUUUGUAUUAGGAAUUCAGAUGCCUUCCAGCUCUAAUCUUUUUGUAUUGUUGGUGCAUGCUGGGAGUCACAUUGCUAUGCAUGCUAGCAAACAUUAGGAUUGGAAGUCUUACCCUGUAGGUUAUUAAUAUCUUUUCCACUACACUGAGGUUCAGCAAUUUAAUUCGUAUUAAGGUCGCACAAGCAGUUUUGUUUUCGGAUUUGUCUUGGCAAACAUAUUUGGUACAUCAAUUUAAUUCGUAUUAAGGUCACAGAAGCAGUUAGUUCCAUUACAGUUGGGUCACCGACGGUUGCCGUGCUACUAUGCUCCUCUCAUGUUGUAGUGACUAGCUGCUGCAAUUCACGGAUCAUGCUCUCUCGUGGGAAGGAGGUUGUGGCUUUCUCAAUUGAUCAGACAGAACCCCACAUAGUUCUUUUCUUGAUAUAUAUUGUUAUUUCUGAUACUGUGUGGACCAUCAGAAACCUGAUGUGUGUGUGUGUAUCAUAGAAUAUCUUGCUAUUAUGUAUAUUGCUUCCCUUUUAUUCAUGUACUACUUCUCUAAAUAUAAGCCACUUCUUUUCUAUUGUUAGCUCUAUCUUUUGAUGUUAAUGCACUAAAAGUCUAAAGCCUUUCCCUAUGCAAAAUGAUAAUAUUAGAGCUAUGCGUCUUAUAAUCCCUACUGUAUAUGACAAUGCGAUAUUUAGUUAUAUUAUGUUUGUAGCAUGACAUUUUUCCAUUCCUUUUUUUUCCCGCUGUAUCACAUGGUAAAUUAUGAUGUACAAUGACUGCUCUUGCAAAAAGUUUGGAAUUCAGAGAGGGAUUCUAUAACAAGCAAGGUUUUAGGAUCUGAAUCUAAAUGACCUCUUCUUCAGUUCAGUCCUAGCAAAAGCUGAUCAGAGAAACAAAGAAGCAGCAACGAAUGGGUCCCUUUCUUGCCCACAAGAGUUGUCUGUGUGCAAGUCAUGAACCUUUUGUCCAUCAAUACAAGUGCAGGAUUUGAACAAGUUUAUUCUGACCUUCUGUUGGGAGUUUAUAUUAUACCUUUCAUGCAAAGUAGUUACAUUUUCGCAUGGAAGACGAUGCCCAUAGAGUGGAAGGUGGAGAGUUUCAGACUUUGGUGGAUGUUAAUAUGCUCAAAGUUUUUCAAUUAAACAUGUUGAAAUCUUCCAUGUAGCUGUGAUUGUUCUCUCCGGACAUGGAGGAUCAGUUCUUGGACAAAUUUAUUUGUUUGUUGUAUGACUUGCCACCAUUUUUUCUAAAUUUCUAUUCACAUGUUAUCAAACCAUAAAGAUUUCAAUAUCUUAAAACAUUAGUAGAAUUAAGCUGCCUGUAAUUCUGGACUCUAGCAUUUUGUGCUUGGUGGCCUUCUUCGCCGACUUCGUGGGCAUGUCAGCCCUCAUCUCCACUUCGUCAUCGACGACAUCUACGACCACGACACCUGCCACCUUGGGUAUGAUUGUGAUCUGUGCAAUGGGUGCAUAGUGGAAGGGGCUGCCGUUCCAGUUCAGCAGGGGCUGCACCUUCUACUGCAGUGAGCCCGACCCUCAUCGACAGCAACGAAUUCAGAUUGUGUUUGGAGAUGGUGGCCCGUGAGGAGGAUUUCAGGGGAGAUCAUACUGUGACUAUGACAAGAGGCUGAGAUUUGACCUGCACUGUAUGCGAAAAGCAGGUUCAGGAGCUCCAAGCCAACAACCGCCAGAUCUUUGAAAAAGAUAUUUUUAUAAUUAAAGUGAAGAUACUGUGAUGGUGUGUCAUUUUCUGGAAACGUCGGAGAUGAAUUUCAGGAAGGCACCACUUUCUUCUUCAGAGGCCAGCGUAUUUGGGAAGCAGUUAUUAGGGAACUUUUAUCAAAAGGUCUAUCACAUGCUAAAGAAGUAGCCUUCCUACAAAAAUAGGGUAGUUGAUUCUUUAGAAGUGUUUGGAGCAACCAAAAUUCAAGUGAGAACACAAUACUUCGUUGGUGUGUCCAUACAUAUGUCUAUAUAUACGCCGGAACCCUCAAGUGAGUACAAAUCAAAUGAACGAUGCCCCAAGAACUCAGAUGUUGCAACCUUGGGCGAUCGGUCCAUUGGAUUCUUGAAACCAAUGCCUUUUCUGAAGUAAGUCUGGCAUGCAAGGUGCCCUCAAGGUUUAUUUCCAAGAGAUGGCGCUGGGGUCUCGGGGACGUGCCGGACGGCGUCGCGUUCCUGCACCUUGGGGAUGGCUUUGGGUCGAAUUCCCCUCCAUGCAAUCUUGUGCUCCUUUGGGUGUUUCUAAUCUUUCUGCCUUCUAGCGUAAAUAGAGAGAUGUUCUCCCAUCGCUAUUGGCUGUCAAAUUUGCGAUGCAAUCCGUCCCUAUUUCGGCACAAUCAGCAGAACAAAGCAGCUACCAUGAUUUGCCCAUUGAUCUCUUGGAGUGAUUCAAACCUGCAAGCACCAGGAUUGAGUGACUCCUGCAUAUGAUGACUGAAGAAUUUUUCAUCAAUUUUCCAACCUGAAUUAGCUACAGAAGGGAAAAGAGGAGUCCAGGCUCUGAUGAACACACCGUCUUUCCCAGAAACCACUUCAACUAGCCCAGGACUGUGUCUAUUAGUCCUCCAGUAUUUGUUAAGAUGAGAUAACACAUUGUAUGACAGGUAACAAGCAACUGAAGCAAGAAGAUUUUUUAAAUUUCUUGGAAAGUAUAACCACCUUAACCCAGGAUGCAUGAUGAAGGAUCCAAUAUGUCAGGACCAACGAGGGAACUGCAGUAUGUCAGAACCAAUGAGAGAAUUGUAGAGCUUCAUAUUAAGUUUAUUUUAGCUGCUUGCCGGCUUCAAGUGUCUAGAUUACAGGAAACAUGUUUCUUUAAGUAACAAACCUGGAUACCAAUUUAUUCAAACUAUUAUAUUUCUUAUAGAAGUAAUGCAAUAUAUUCUCUCUCUUGUGCCUAUUUGAAA